AUAAAAUGUUAGUAAGGAUAGAGAAGACAAUAAUAGAUUUUAAAUACAUAAAAUAUACAAAGAAUAUUGAAUACAGCAAUUAGUGAAAUACUAAACAAUUCUAAAAACUGAAAAGGUUAUAGAAAUAGCCUCAGAAAAUUACAAAGAGCUGGAAUGAAAGAUAAUGUACUUUUAAUGAUGCAUUUAGAAAUUAGAAAUAUUUUUAAAAUAUAACUAUAAUGGACAAAGAAAUGUGGUAUAAAAUACAUAAUGGAAUACUAUUGGGCCUGAAAAAAAAGAAGGAAAUUGUGUCAUAUGUGACAACUUGGAUGG
rnacentral:lncRNA from 1 species